rnacentral:rRNA from 1 species
CAGCAGCCACGGGAACACAGAGGGUGCAAGCGUUAAUCGGAAUUACUGGGCGUAAAGCGCGCGUAGGUGGUUUGUUAAGUUGAAUGUGAAAUCCCCGGGCUCAACCUGGGAACUGCAUCCAAAACUGGCAAGCUAGAGUAGGGCAGAGGGUGGUGGAAUUUCCUGUGUAGCGGUGAAAUGCGUAGAUAUAGGAAGGAACACCAGUGGCGAAGGCGACCACCUGGGCUCAUACUGACACUGAGGUGCGAAAGCGUGGGGAGCAAACAGGAUUAGAUACCCCAGUAGUCCCUGUCUCUUAUAA